UACAGAGGUCCCAAGCGUUGUUCGGAUUCACUGGCGUAAAGGGUGCGUAGGCGGUCGGGUAAGUCUGAUGUGAAAUCUCACAGCUUAACUGUGAAACUGCAUUGGAUACUAUCCGGCUAGAGGAAUGGAGGGGAGACUGGAAUACUUGGUGUAGCAAGUGAAAUGCGUAGAUAUCAAGUGGAACACCAGUGGCGAAGGCGAGUCUCUGGACAUUUCCUGACGCUGAGGCACGAAAGCCAGGGGAGCAAACGGG
rnacentral:rRNA from 1 species